GUUUUCCUGUGUGUGGAUGGUGUUAAGCACCAGGGAAACAGGUGUGUUUUCCUGUGUGUGGAUGGUGUUCAGCACCAGGGAGAUAGGUGUGUUUUUGU
rnacentral:pre_miRNA from 1 species